ensembl:lncRNA
GAUACAAUUACAAAGCGAAAUAGAGAAUCCUCUGAGCAAGUCUAAAGCGACUUAGCAAAGCGGCUGCAGGAAAACUCUAACAGUCCUUUCCCCGCUUUGGUCCUUUGAAAACUCUUGAGGUGUGUCUUCUUUGGUGCAUUUGAAUGUCAUUGGCUUCUUCUUCAGAGUGUCCCCUCCUGGACUGUCCCUUUCACGUCGAGGUGUGAAGCUGCAGCUGUAACCUGAAACCUCACUGUACUAUCUGUCCCUCACAUUCCAAUGCACUCAAUGCAGAUACAGUUGGCUUUAUGCCUCAAUGAGUGAAUUUAACAAAGCAUGCAUUGUUUAAGUCUUCAUCUUUUAACUAGUACACUUUAAUUACAACAAUCCAUCAUUAAUGAUCCCCGUUCAUCACACUUCAUCAUAAGAUCUAAGACAGUUCAUGUGGUUCAAUUUUCAAGACAUUUGCCUCAGUCGGCUGCCUUACAUUAAGUUGUUCAUUUAUUACCUGACAGGAGAAAAAACUCCCAAAAAACUCUCUUUGGGGAUAAAAUUGGGAGAAAUCCAUAAAGGACGGCAAUUAGCAUCCGUCCCCAGGUAAUGGGGUAAAGGUUAAUGUAAUACCUAAUAUCUAAUAACACACAAACUAUAAUUCUAACACUAAACAUUAUUACACGUACUAUAACUUCCAUAACUACGGGUGCACUUCUGGCUUAAAUCCCUAACAAUUCCCUCCUUGCUCACAGUUCACUGUGAGCAUCUCUCAAGGACUGAAAAAUUAUCAUACAGUCACAUCCGUCAACAGUGAUUGUCCCUCAUCAUCUACUCGCUACCGAUUUCCCUGUAUACUAGUCUCACUAAGCGCAAUAUCGACCAAUUCCUGCAGGAAUCCAAGGAUGCAGGAGAUGCAGCUUCAUCCGUAGUGGACUAGAUCAUGACCGUAACACAAGAAGGGUUAACGCAGACGGGCAUGCACUUUUUGUUGUGCAAUAAUACUGACAAACCCGUUGGUGAGAGGAUUGUCGUCGCCUUAGUUGUCUCUCAGCUGCUGGUUCAAGCUGUCAGUGGGGCUUGUGCUCUGGUCACCAAGCCACCAGGAGCUGUGUUGUUGGAGAUGAUCGCACAACAAACAGAUCCAAACAUUUUGCAGAAGUUACCGUUUCCAGCUAACAUCAUGUCUAAAGCCACUUUAUUAUUCUAGGCCAUGAGUCUCAUUUCAUCCAAUGACUCAUGCAGGUCUUCAUUUGUAGCACCUGUCUGUCAUUAAAUGCAGUUUCAUCCAAUCAACAUUUUAUUAUUGUCCACAAAUUCAGCUGUGAUCUGAUUCUGGAAUUCAACAUCAUCUGGCACCCUCCUUGGCACCUUCUUAGCAUCCUUUUCACUUAUUCAUGUGACCUUCAGACUAAUGUGGAUCUGUCUUUCUUCUUAAGGCUUUCUCUGGUGGUGUUUAUUCCUGGUGAUGUGAUCUUAACUACCAGUAACUGUGUCUACUGUUAACCGCAUCAGUGUCUUAGGUAAACCGUGAGUUUCCCCUGAGGAAUCAGUGUAGUUCGUAACACAAAUAAUUCCUUAUUCAAUCUUUCUCCCACAUGGCUGCUGUUGGAAAACCUCCUGAAGAUGUCUCCCUGGAUCUCUUAGUGAAUCUGGUCUCAGUCGCUUAAAGUUCAACACAUAUCAACACAUUAUAUAGGGACAAGGUAUCUGAAACUCAAGGAAAAACACUAUAGGACAUAUAAUUUACCCCCCCACCCCCAGGGGCAGCUCUGGAUGUGUCUUUCAAUUGAUGCUCCCAUCCCUGUUUGUUUCUGGAGGGAUGACAUCAUCAAACAGAAUAACCGCUCUAUAUGUGGCGGUGCCACAGUGAUGCUUCAAGUUGACAACACAUGUUGAGGAGGAGAACAUAACCAGUGAGUCAAUGGUUGAGACCCUGCCCUUCAUAGUUUACUCUCCCUCCAUAAAUGGACACCAUCUCUCCACUUGCAUUGUAUAAUGAUCUCAGCUCUGUUUGGAGUGAAAUAGAAACAACACAUACAAGAACUUUUAGCCUCCUAAAAACAAUUCUUAUUUUCAAUUCUUACUAUGAUAUAUGCCUUUCAACAGAGACGAUGCUGUAGUUGUCUGAAUAGGCAUAAUUCUAUGAAAUGGUGAACUUCUCUCUCCUCCUUCUGACCAGAUGUUCCCCGUGAAUGUGUCUAAUGCUGCUUAGUUUUAUCUUGGUAAUGAUUGGUCAUUGCAACCGAAUAGCCGCUCUGAAUUCAAAAUCCUCAAGUUCUGUUACUGUAAUAUCGUUGGCGUUUGUUUGUUUGAACAUUCUUAUCAUAUGUGUUUAUCAAGUGUCCCAGCCGUUCCCGUUCCUUCUCUAAUCUGGAAAUGGUGUGUCACAUUAGCUCCGUGUCUGUGGAUUUCUUCGUUGUAUGUGUGUGCCUAUACUUCUCCUUCUUGAUGUUCCUCUGCUGGAAUAUCUGUUGUUGUCAGCGGUUUGGUCAGAUGACACGUAGCUGUCAUCCUAGACGUGUGAUUAAGCUUCACGCUCCCUCCUUGGACCUCGAAUCACCUCAGUUCCUGUGAGCAGACUGCUCUGCUAACCCGAGGUCCCAUUGGGACAAGAUUCCCCAAUCGGCUGUUGAAUAGAGAAGCACAAGUGGUGCAGCUAUGUGUGUGCGUGUGUGUGUGUGUCUAGAUGUGCGUGUGAGUGUGUGUGUGUGUGUGUGCUCUCCCAAUUCCUGUUGCUCUUUCUUCUGGUUUACCAAACUCUUCAAGCAAACAAGUUCUACCAUCUAGUGUGUGCAUAUUUAAACAUAACUGGAACUCAACAUUUUACCCACUUAUUUCCCAGUUUUAGCUAUUUCUUUUAAUGUGGAGUAAUUGUAUCAUCUGUGUGUCUCAUCAGUCCUUGUGUCUGUGUAUGAGAAGAGCAAUUUCAUUACACAUUCGUUCCAGGAAGAAAAGUCAGGUUGGAUCUUCCUGUGUUGGCCAUCGUCUGCUGUUAUUCCAAAAAUGCCACUUGAGUAGCUAAACUCUAACAUCUAGUGUUUUCCUAAAACAUUCUAAUCAAUUUGUCAGUUGUUUCAUUGAUAGAAAGAUUGUAUGUUCUUCUUAACACUUUAAAUCUUAUAAAAUCUACACAACUCUGUUUUGAACCUUAUGAUUGUGUUGUACACUGCAUGCAAUAAUGUUCCCUAAUCGGCAGAUACUCUAGUUGUAUUCUGUUCUCCCCCAGUCCCUCAUGUUGAGGUAGGUGUAAAAGCAUCCCUUCACAUAGCCUUUGGUGAUGCUAAUCACCCCCAGGCCACCUCCUGCCUUAUCCAACAAUGUCGUAAAAACCCCUCAACGCCGUUUCUACUGGGUGUCGUUGCCGAUCUGGACUUUCUCGCAUUGGAGUCGCCUGUUCCUAACUGAAAAGCAAAACAGAGUUAACAAUUGCCAUGCACAUGUAUUCGAGGAAAAAUGUGUCAGUAAAUUUUAUCAUAGUGAAAUAAUUGCUCCCAUUCAAACCGUGUGUGAUUCUUAAAUGACUCUUAGAUGACAUACAACCUGUGGAUGGAUUUUAUGGCUCCGACAGGAGAUUCCUCCUCUUAUCAGUCGUUGUUUUAGGGAGGCCUGCUCACUCCCUCCUCGACCAUGAGUCGCCAUCACCUUUCAACCUCUGCAUCUCCUAAAUGUUGCUUUCUUAGAAGGAAAAAUCUCUUCUUUGUUCCUGCUGUUCUGGUUCUGUUCCCUCUUGUUCAAAUUCACUUCCUGCAAGUCGCUUUGGAUUAGAGCCUCAGCUGAAUGAAAAAUGUAACGCGUUGACGUAAAGAAUGCCUCUGCAUAUCUUUAUCUGCUCCUAGAGUAUUUACACACUGUUUUGAAAAAUUGCCUUUCUUAAAUGGCCUUGUUUCCAACCGAUUUGAGGAGCCAUUCAUGUAUAGAAAUUUAAAUCUCCGACAUAACUGAUUGUUGACCCCCAUAGUCAACUCAGGAAAAAUGAACACCAAUAUUGCCUUCGCGUCCCCAUUCAAUAAUCUCUUUGAGUUUUUGCUUGUAGGUCUCACCCUCAUGGUGUAUGACUGUUCCAUGUCUUCAUCAACUAAUUGACCAACCAAGUUCUCUUUGUUCAUUCUAACCUCGAAGCAAUCUGCUCGUACCAAGUUUACACAAAAAUAUUACCUCACUUUCUCACCCUCACAGUCAAUUUCUUCUCCUUUUACCUUCAGCCUGUUUGCUCUGUUAUGACGUGACAUCACCUUUGAAAACCUGUGCAUUACUGCAUAACUCUUCAACCUGUUUUUCCCAUUUUUACACUUCCACUUGCCCUCGGUCAUACUUUCAAACACCUGCGUGUGUCUCUCAUAACAUUUCAACCUACUUUUCUCUUCUUUGCUGACCUUUGUGACCACUUUCACAAGUGGUUGAGCAUUUGCAGUAUCAGUCUCUAAAACUUCAAUCAAUGUAUCAGAAUGUGAACCUCAAACCCUGGUGAUAUCAACAAAGGUUCUCCAAACCCUUCAGGGUCAUAAAACAACAAUGAAGAUUGUGAGUCCCUUGAUCCCCAAAAAGUACCAGGAGAUAAUAAAUCAACUUAGCAUCAGACCCAUCUGUUCCAGACCCCCCUCCAGUGUUAAUCUCCACUUUUAUUGCUCUUCAGCCCAAAAGCAAAGCAGAGGGUGGGAGACAUGUCUGUUACUUGCAGAUACAAACUCAGCUCAUGCUUAGUUUGAUCCAAUCCAUUCAUUCAUUACUGAUAGAUCACCAACCUCUCAUGGUUAGCGUAUCCAAAUGUAAGAGUGUACUACUUGUUGAACAUUACAGGAUGACCGUCUGUAACAAGUUUCCAUAUUUCGUGUACUGGUGCUAUCAAUGUUCCUUUGAUCAGACAUUUGCUUCCAUCAUCAAGAUACUGUAUCAAGUGUAUCGUGCACUAUACACUCAAUAAACAGCACUCAACAAUUUACCGCCCAUCUCUGAAUUUAGGAGGAAACUCGAAAAACUACAAACAUUAAUACAACAUACGGACAAUAUAUACAACAACUCUCCUAAUCCUUAUCACCUUCAUUCCUCAUUUAAAUCUUUCACAACCUCAUCUCUUAAUUUUCAAUGACUGAUUUCCCCUUUUUUUAAUCAAUCUUCCCUACGGGUUUAAGUCUUGUUUCAGCUGACACUCUCAGCAGUCUAUAAUCUCUAGUCUCCCUUUUUCUACCUGGAAUCUGAGUCGUAAACCGUAGAGGCUGAGGGUGCUUAUCUGAGCUGUUGGAAAGCAGCGGGGGUCGGUGUGUCACCAGUCAGUUGUUUAGGGCUCCUCAGAACUCUGUCUCUAUCAACGCAAGUGGCAUCUGUUGCUGUGGUCACCACAUAUGGGGAGGUGGAGGCUGGGGUGUGCCCAGUCUCUGGUUCUGCCUGGGCUGCAGUGGGUAGGGAAACCUUCCUGGAGGAGCAUUCGACCGUGUGUUCCCUUCAUAUUUCACUGGACACGUUCUUGACCUAUGUCCCACCUGCCCACAUAUAUAACACACAUCACCCCCAUACCCUCCUUGGUAGUAUCCACUCCCUCGGUUAUAUUCACGGCCUCUGCCUCUCCCUCUGUACUGUGGUGGUUGCUGGUAUCCUCUCAAUUGGUUUCUCACUGCUGGACCUACAGUUGGAUAUGUGGCUUCUGGAGGAACAGGGUAUUGAGGUUGUUCAUCACUCACCGACAGUUGUUUCCUGACUCUCCGUUUUUCCGUUGCUUCUGCAUCUGCUGCUGCCAGUUGAACCUUCAGAAGCUGUUUCGUCAGUCUCUUGAUUUUUCCCCAUUCGAUCGUCUCCACUGCUUACUGUUUCUGGUGGUAAUGGGUGAGACGGUCUCUCCAUGUGCUUUCAUCCAUGUCGUCCAGUCCCACUACUCCCUCUAACAGGGACAAGCCUUGCAGCACAGUGUGUCGCCAGAUCACAGCAGUAGAUUUGUUAUUGUCGUGUCUUUCUCCUGUGGCCAAAUGCCAUUCUGUUUCUGCUCUCCUCAGAUAUUGAGACAUGUCUUCACCUUGUUUCAUACUCAGACCCAUCGGGAUGGACAUACUUGGCUUUGUAGGCCAGAUGUUUCGCAUUGUGGCCCAAAAUACUCCUCUGACCUUAUCAAAUGGAGCCUCAUCCUCUUGGUUGGUGGUUCCCGCUCUUGCUUCUAAGGCUCUUAGGUUGUCAGUACCCUCCAUGUGGGCUAUUAAGGCUCUCAUAUCUCCAAGAGUCAACUCAUCACCUAUUGUGUGCCUUUCAAAGAGCAGGAUCAUGGGUUAGCUCCUUCUCCCAAUGGCGGCAAUGCCUUCUCCGGCGCUUCCAUGUCCCGAUGACUCCAGGGUAGAAAUACGCUGGGCUCACAAUCUGCUUCUUCUUCUUCUGUCAGGUCAACAGCAGGUUUGCGGGUGUUUGGGUCGACUGCAGUCCAGUAGACAAGCAGCUGCUUGGUGCGGACACAUCUCUUAUCCUCUCUUUUGAGGGCUCUCUUCUCACUCUUUCUAUUUAAUUUGCCGGCUUCUACAUAAGCCGUAGUGGCUUGAUUUCUCGCUGUUACAGUCUCCCUCCACACCUUGCGCCUGUCUUCACCUGCUGGCGGCGACACCGUUGGAAACCACCCACUCUUUUGCCAUCUUUUCAAAUAUCUAUUCAUCCUACUCCACUCCCUCUCUCUUUCCUUGGACUCAGUUUGUUCUUCCAUGAACUCUCUGGCCCUACCAAGCAAUUUCUGAGUUGUAAGCGCAGCCAUCAUGCAACCUGGAAUACUCUAAACAACUGCUAAGCUGUCCCGUCUGUCCUAGGUGUUACUCUGUCACUAACAGCAAGAAAAACCAAACCAAGUCACUUCUAACAGCUGUCCGAGGAAAUGUGAAAUCGAACUGUCAACCGGAAUCGACACAGUAAAACAAACAACCAAAUCUAAAAGAAAGGAGGGCAAUUUACAACAUCAAAUCAGUCCAAUAACUGCGGUGUAUUUACUAAAAUUAUCCGGUUAGACCACCAAGUUAAACCAACUUAUCAGUACCUCUAACCACAAAAUCAAAUCAAUCACAGAACUGUAAAAAUUAGUAUAAUCAAUGAUCAAUGCCAAAGACUAUGAUUACAAUUGUACAGAGGAAAAGAGAAAGAAUUAACUAUAUCUCAAAUCAAAACUCAAUCUUCAUUCAAAAUUCAAAAGUCUAAAAAUUAAACUUUAAUAAAAUUAAUCUUGAUGUCUAAAAAUGAAUUAAUCCAAAUUAUUAAUCAAAGUUACAAAAUUAAUCAAAGUUAUGAUGAUACAGUCAAACUGCCGGCAAUAUUAAUCAGGAAGUAGAGCAGAAGCACUCCCCCACAAAUGCCGCCAGAGAUUAUACUUCAAUACAAACAAUGAUCCACCCCCAACCCAGAGACAAUGCAAUGACAGUCAAUCUGGUUUCAGCUAAACAUUGGAGAUCGAAAUCAAACAAUUUAUAACAGCUUCUCAAAAGCACCACAUCAAAAUUAAGUCAACCUCCAAUUCCAAUCCAAAAUCGAUUCAGAACUAUAGUACAAACCAAAUUCAACGUAACACUACAGCACUUUAAUGUUUCAAAUAAACGUCAACACCAAUCCAGAUAUCCGUCAAGUUAUCUUAUCAAUCUUUACACUAUCCUAGUAAGGAACGGCAAAUGUGCAUCAAAGUCAACGUCCGAACACGGCAAGUGAAGAAAUUGAACUCCCCCUCUUGUAAUUCCCUUUACAUCCACCAGAUGUGCACUUACUCCAACCACAUGAGGCGCUGUUCAGACAAUAGCUGAAGAUCGAACACAGAACUACCAAAGAGGAAGUGCGUCGACGCCCCUGGACAUGGAUCGUAAAACGCCGUGUGCUGGCGUAGCAAAGAACAAUGGGCUAAAGCUAACUGCUAACCCACGCUAUAUCCCCAGUGGAAUUACCAAUGAGACCCCGUUAGCCGCUAGCAAUGCAGCCUCACGUGGUCCAUCUUGGACUGUUCACCAACACCUUAAUAUGCUACGGUUUUAUAACCCGACGCCGGAGAUGAUCAGUCUCCAGUUCGGAUUCUAUACAUAUAUAUAUAUAUAUAUAUAUAUAUAUACAAUGUUAAGCAAUCACAUACACACAGUAAAUCAUAAUCCGGAACAUCUAUUCAUCAAUCAAGCGCAUGCACCACGUUGCUCAAACACUCACACCAGCAUGCAAAUAUAUAUACACUAUCAUUUACACUAAAAGCGCU